rnacentral:rRNA from 1 species
AGAGUUUGAUCCUGGCUCAGGACGAACGCUGGCGGCGUGCUUAACACAUGCAAGUCGAACGGCCCGCCCCAACAGAUACCUUCGGGUUGAAGAUGGGAUCCGGGCAGUGGCGGACGGGUGAGUAACGCGUGGGUAAUCUACCUCUUAACCGGGGAUAACUCACCGAAAGGUGGGCUAAUACCGGAUAAGCUUCUUAGAUCACAUGAUCAUAGAAGGAAAGGCGGCCUUAGUGCUGUCGAUAAGAGAUGAGCCCGCGUCCCAUUAGCAAGUUGGUGAGGUAACGGCUCACCAAAGCGAUGAUGGGUAGCCGGCCUGAGAGGGCGAUCGGCCACACUGGGACUGAGACACGGCCCAGACUCCUACGGGAGGCAGCAGUGGGGAAUCUUCUGCAAUGGGGGCAACCCUGACAGAGCAACGCCGCGUGGGUGAAGAAGUCUUUCGAGACGUAAAGCCCUGUCAUAAGGGAAGAAAUCAUGGAAGUUUAAGAGACAUCCGUGCAGACGGUACCUUAUAAGAAAGCUCCGGCUAACUACGUACCAGCAGCCGCGGUAAUACGUAGGGAGCGAGCGUUGUCCGGAAUCACUGGGCGUAAAGGGCACGCAGGCGGUUCGAUAAGUCAAAUGUGAAAUACACUGGCUUAACCAGUGGGCUGCGUUUGAAACUAUCGAACUAGAGGGCAGAAGAGGAGAGUGGAAUUCCUAGUGUAGCGGUGAAAUGCGUAGAUAUUAGGAAGAAUACCAGUAGCGAAGGCGACUCUCUGGGCUGACCCUGACGCUGAGGUGCGAAAGCGUGGGUAUCAAACGGGAUUAGAUACCCCGGUAGUCCACGCUGUAAACGCUGGAUAUUAGGUGUUGUGGGUUAAACUCCCGCAGUGCCGUAAGUUAACGCGUUAAAUAUCCCGCCUGGGGACUACGAUCGCAAGAUUGAAACUCAAAGGAAUUGACGGGGGCCCGCACAAGCGGCGGAGCAUGUGGCUUAAUUCGAAGCAACGCGAAGAACCUUACCAGGGUUUGACAUCCCGUGACCAUCUACGAAAGUAGAGUAUCCCUUCGGGGACACGGAGACAGGUGGUGCAUGGUUGUCGUCAGCUCGUGUCGUGAGAUGUGGGUUAAGUCCCGUAACGAGCGCAACCCUUAUCCUUAGUUGCCUGCGAGUAUGUCGGGGACUCUAGGGAGACUGCCGGUGAAGAAAACCGGAGGAAGGUGGGGAUGACGUCAAAUCAUCAUGCCCUUUAUACUCUGGGCUACACACGUGCUACAAUGGGCUGCACAGAGGGUAGCAAGACCGCGAGGUCAAGCGAAUCCCACAAAGCAGUUCUCAGUUCGGAUUGCAGGCUGCAACUCGCCUGCAUGAAGCUGGAAUCGCUAGUAAUCGCAGGUCAGCAUACUGCGGUGAAUACGUUCCCGGGCCUUGUACACACCGCCCGUCACACCACCCGAGUUGGAUGCACCAGAAGUCGCUGUCUCAACUUAGUGAGAGCCGGCGCCAAAGGUGUG